CCCCGUGUGGCUCAGUUGGUAGAGCAUGGUGUUUGCAAUGCAAGGGUUGUGGGUUCAAUUCCCACGGGGG
rfam:Salmo salar isolate Sally breed double haploid chromosome ssa01, whole genome shotgun sequence.